rnacentral:lncRNA from 1 species
ACCAGUCUCCAGGAUUCUUGCCCUGACUUGGACAUUUGUGGGAUUUAUGGUUAAGGGAGAUCACUUGGCCAUAAAUCCCCGGUGAGGAAUGAUGAUGGUCCUCCCUCCCUACCCCCAAAAUUAAAGGCGCGAGAGCAGGACUCCCUGAAGGGAAACGGCCACCAUUUCUGCGAGGUCUGCGCAAACCUUACCAUGUAUGUGCCACCGUGAAACGCCGCUGUUUGGGGAUGUUGCUGCUGAGAAGCAUUCUGCGCAGAAGCCUGGGGGAAUUUCUCGGAGAGAUCACUGGAGAGAGCUUGGGAGAAACCGAUUUCCUCGCUGUCUUGGACUUCUCAUGCUGCAACAGGUUUUCUCGCAAGGAUUUCACAAGGUCUUCGUUCAGCCACGGGUUUGGACAAUGCGGAUUAUCCACUUCAGGCAUCUCACUACAACGACCUUAGAGGUGGCAUAAACUGAAAUAUAAAAGCUGGGUCUAUCAAGCAACUAAAAUCUGAUUUGAUGGUUAAAAGCUGGAAAAAUCCAAGAAUGAAUGAAAGAGCUUGUAGAUAGGCCCAGACAGUGGGCAGCAUGGCUCUUCUCCAGCCUGGGACACAGCUCAUCACUCAGGGUGGAUCCUGGAGAGAAGCUGCCUGAGUUCAGCCUUUGCCUAUCCCAGUACUCACUGUGUGCACCCAGAGGAGCUUCUGUGUAUCUGUGAGACCCUGUUUCCUCAUCUGCAAUACCAGGACUCAUAUCCUAGCGGGGCUCUGAAAACUAGAUCAGCUAAUGUAAGGCUUGGCCAUGUAUUUUCUCAAGAAUCGUUGCUGUGAAAGAGCCAGUGAAGUCACAGAGGGUAAAGUCAAUGGUCAACCUUCCUGAUUAAUGAAUAUUGAUUGAGCAUUCACCAUUUAAUAGUUAGCUCCUUCUAAGUCUAAUCGUUUUUAGUUUCUCCUGACACCUGUCAUGUAAGAGGCUCUAUAUGUGAGGAUAGACUUAGGGGGCAGUUGGUUCCUCUUUUUGGACACAGAACAGGAAGAAUAAAGAGAUCUCAGAAGGAAAAGGAAAGUGGGAGGAGGCUGGGUCUGUGGGUUCCCCGGUGGAUCACGCUGAAAGAAUACCUGGCAGACACUUAAUCUCUGCGGCAAAUGCAUGAAAGUAGAAGGAUGAAGCCAACUUUCCAAAAACUUUUAUGAAAUUACUUCAGUGAGAAAACCUAUUAAAUAAAUUACAGCCAUUCUAUAAAAAUAGAAUUCUAUGUUACUUCUAUAUAUAUACUUCUACUAUAUAUACUUGUACUAUAUUACAGUAGAAAUCAGUCAAUCCAAUCCCCUAUUGGGCAGAAGGGAAACUUGCCUCGGACCACACUGUCGGCUGGGGUCCUUAGCACGGUACUAGGUCUCCACCUCCAUGCACUACCCUGGUUCAGAGCUGGUGCUAUGGGUUGAAUUGUGUCCCUGCAAAAAUAGGCUGAAGUUCCAACCCCAGUACCUCAGAAAGGGACUUUGCUUGGAAAUAGGGUCUUUAGAGAGGUAAUCGAGUUAAAAUAAGGUCAUUAGAGUGGGCCUUAUCUGAUGUGAGGGGAAUUCUUAUAAAAUGGGGAAAUGCAGACACACACAUAUGCAGGAGGAAGGCACUAUGAAGAAACAAAGAGAGAAGACGGCUAUCCAAGGAGAGAGGCCUGGAACAAAUCCUUGCCUCACGGUUCUCAGAAGGAAACAACCUUGACAACACAUUACUUUUGGAUUUCUGGCCUCCAGAACUGUGAGACAAUGCAUUUUGGCUGUUGUAAGCCACCUAGGUUGUGAUACUUCCUUACAGCAGCCCUAGGAAAUGAAUACAGCUGGGGACCAGGCUUUUAGUCAAAAGAUCAGGGAGGAAGUCUGGUGUCUUGGGAGAAAUUUCUAGAUUAUAGGAGUCACUGAAUAUCGUAACUUUGAAAAAUCCAUUUUGAAUCUCACCAGAAACACAAAAGCCUGUAGAAAUCCAAUUAUACAAAUUUACAGUCUAGAAAAGGAAAAAAAAUGAAAUUACUCUUCAUGCACAUUUAAGCAGAGUUUAGGACUGGAAAAUAAACAAGGCUUUGGUAACUGGGGAGUGCAGUGCUAACAACACAGUUGCAGGUAUGUGGCUGUGUGGGUUUGAGCUUGGCUCUGCCUUUUACCAACUCCGUGACCUUCAGUCACUGCCCCCACUGUCUUCAGCUUUCUCCAAAAAGAGUGUUGUGUGUCCUCUUGGAGGCCAUACCCUGGGGUGCUCAGCACAGGGUUUCACACACAGUGACUAUUAACUGGAUUUUAGCUCCUAUUAUAAUUACUAAUAGCAGAUAAUUGCCUUAUUAAAAAAAUUAAAGGCAAGCCCCCAAAAGUUAAGAACAUAUGUACUUGUUUGCUUUUUCAUCUUCUUAGAUGACACUUAUUUUAAGUUUUCUUUGUAUGUAAUUCAUUCUAGCUCUCUUAUUCAGCAGUAUUUCUUUCAUUUGAAAACAGCAUAAUAUUUAGAUGCCAAAUGUGAUCAUCAAAUGCAAGAAUAUGGAUAUCCCACUAAGCUAUCUAGUUAUGCUCAAACCCAAACAAGUAGAAAGCCCUUAUGUACAAAGUGAUUCUUUUCAUGAACUUGGAAAUUUUUCAAAAUCAGGUUGCUGAGUUCUGAUUUGGAGCAGCCUGUCGCAAUACCAAAUCACCUUUGAAUAAACUUAUCCUCUCAGCUUUUAUUGUUCAGAAUUGAUUUCGAGGAUAGAAAUUCCAUUUCCUUGUCAUAUAUACCUGAGCCGUUGCAUCAAAUUGUCAGAUCAAACCUAAAAUGCAGCACUUCGCAGAUGGAGGAGAGACAUUCUCUCUAAAAAAAAAAAAAAAAAAGUCAACCAAGUCAGAAGUUGUGAAGCUGCUGAAAAAAGCAAAAAUAAACACUCUUAAGCAGGAAAAUAGAAGACCUGUUGCUUGUGGGAAAUAGAUUUUCUAGAAGUUAGAUCAGCUGGAAAUAUUGUCAUGGACAUGCCAAAAGGCAAGUGAAGGAAAUGUACUGAAUGUUGUUGGCUUUGCACUAAGAGGAUCUCAGGAAGCAGUUCACAAGAGUGCCACCACAUGCAUGGAAGGACCAGCUCGUUAGAUGCUUUGGGCAAAUAAAAAUUUUCUGUAGAGUUAUUUUGUUCUGCUGGAGCCAUUAAGUGCUCCUUGCUACAUGAAAUGGUAUAUAGCCCUUCAAAUGGGGGCAUUUAGCAAUAUAAAAUAUAUUUACCCUGUCCGUUCUUGAGGAUCACUCUUUAACUGUAGAGAAUAUGUCUUCUAAGGCACCAGAGACAUCCAGAGAUAGAGGGCUGCUGAUAUUAAUAACACAUAAACUUUGGGUGAAGGCAUAGGGGAAGCCAGCCCUCACUAGAACUCCACUAUGCAGGCACCCCGAUCUCACACUGCCAGCCUCCACAACCGUGAGAAAAUAAGCAUCUGUUGUUUAAGCAUACCCUCUCUUCAUAGGGAUUAUUGGAGCCUAGAAGAGUGCAUGGACACUUUUCAUUAUUAUUAUUAUUAUUUACUAGAUUAUCACCCCAACAGAAUAGGAACUGAAUUCCUUUUUGCAAGUAGGUGUUCAAUAAUUAUUUGUUGAAUGAAUGAAUGCUAUGGCUACUAUAUGGAAUUUCUAGGUCAAAUAGGAGCAGAAGGCUGGGGGUAUGGGGGCUUGCACUUGUAAUCCCAGCACUUUGGGAGUCCGAGUCUGGAGGAUCACUUACACCUAGGAGUUACUAGCCUGGGCAACAUAGGGAGAUUCCGCAUCUACAAAAAAUAAUAAAAAAUAGCCAGGUGUGGUGGCCCGCACCUGUAAUCCCAGCUACAUGGGAGGCUGAAGCAGGAGGAUCACUUGCACCUGGGAGGUUGAGGCUGCAGUGAGCUGUGAUUGCACCACUACACUCCAGCUGGGAUGACAGAACAAGUCUCCAUCUCUCUCUCUCUAUAUAUAAAUGCCUGUGUGUGUGUGUGUGUGUGUGUGUGUGUGUGUGUGUGUGUGUUUGUGUGUAUGAGACGAAGAGCAAAAUUCAAUUUAGUCAUCGUACCCACAUGUAAUCACCAAAAAAUUUUUUUUAAAAGCUAUUUAUAACCAAAAAUAUCUUCUAUCAAGUUGUGGUAAUAUUACAUGAAAGCCCAUUUUGUUCUGCUGAGCACUUGCGUAGUUCUGGGAGUUAAAAGGUGGAUGGAGCAGGAGAGACGUAAAGCACUAAAUGCCAUUAAGUAAGAAAAAUCUGGAGUUCCUAUAAGCAAUUUUUGAAGUAGGAGAGGUACGGAAGGGUAGGAAUGAAAGAAAAAACCCAAGCAAACCUAGCAAAAGGCUAACACCUUCCAUAUAGAAAUCACUGGGUAACUGACUUUUUAAGAAUAUGAAAGUCUAAACACAGUCACUUCUCACAUUAUGGUGAACAUUGCUUCCAUUUCUUCAAACCAUCAGUAAAGUGUGGUACAAUGCAGAAAUCCCAUGUGUGAACAAGUUUUGUUUUGUUGGGGCAGAGGGAAGGCUGGUGGUUGGGAAAACUAAGGAAGGGGCUCAGUUCUACCUUGAGCCUCUGUGGUAUGGAAAAAAGAGAUGAUGACAGCUACUGUGAGAGAACUCCUAAACGCAACCAAUUUGGCUGAAGCAGAGAUGUGGGGCCUGGUGUGAUCAAGGAUUCAUAAAAGCUUUGGAGAGAAAGCAGAACUUUUCACAAUCUGUACGAUGGGGAUUGCAGCCAAUUUUAUUUAGCCCUCAGGAAAUAGGGUGACCCCAGUUGACCCCCAGGGGAAAAAAUUCCCUAUCUCAUAAACAAUAAAAAUCUUAACUAAAGUUUAAUAUGAUAGCAACCAGAAACAAGGCUUCCUGUUGUCCUCAGACAACCGAAAGUUCAUAUUCACACACCCAAGUAACCACACCCCCAGCCCCUGCACUGUGCAAGUGAACAGUUUCAUUGACAACUUUGGGGUCUGUUUUGAUCUUGGAGAUCUUGGAGUUAACUGCAGAGAAUGACUGGAGUGGAUUUUAUGAAGAGGUAUUUUAUAAAUGCUUAUGUGUAAUGAUGAGGGAAAUUGAAGAAAGUGAAACAAACAGUAAAACCACAUGGGAAGAAUUCCCGCAGAACAUGAGAAACAGAACUUGACUUAAUGAAUAAAAUAACAGAUGGCAUCUCAUUUUUUAUUGGGUGUGUAAAGAAUGAGAACCUGAAAUGCAGGUUUGGUUAUUCAAGUGAAUUAGUAAAGGAGAUUUAUGGUUUUGGAAGAAUCAGCAGUCAUGGGGGGGCAGGAAAUGGUUAUAAGUGACUUUUAGAUUCUGUGCUUGGGUGACUAAUGACAAACAUAGCAUAGUAAACCAUCGGACCAUAUCAUGCAAACAGGCUGUGUGAAUUAAUUUUGUUUUGCUUUGUCUUGCUGGGGAAAUUAGAAGGCUUAAACAAAGCAGAGAGAAGACAUCUAUUGGAUUGUCCAAAAUACUGUAAAAUUUUGGCAAUGUGGUAUCUAUACCAGGCAACUACAACUUCUGUCUUAUUUGGUUUAGAUACCCAAGGAAGUACAGGGGUACUCUGAAAUUUACUUCGAGAUACAAAUCUUCAAUUAUUCACAAGCUGGCAGCACAGGUCUUUAAGUCUAUUGUCCUUGUACUUCCCUAGAACACAUCAUCUUGGCACCAGAUCUGCUUUACCUCUCAGAAGUUUAGAGCAAAAUUCUACGAAAGGCAGGACUUUUAACACUCCCUCACUGUGGGGUGUUUAAAAAGACUAUUAUGGGGAGAAAAAUGAAUUGCUGAAUAAGUAGUAUGUGGAAGAAAGGUCUGUGUUGAAUGAAGGGAGGUCUAGUCAUUAAAAAAGAAAAAGAAGGCUCAAGCCACAGAGUUUUUAUCGUGUGCCUCAGCCACUGGGGAAACAGUUUCAGUGCAGUAUUAUAUAUGAAAUGUUUCCUAUUAGAAUCAAAGUUCCCACAAUGGAACAUGUGCGACAAUACUAACUAAACACUACCAUCUAGUGGCCAGUUUUGAGAACUACAAAAGCUCGCAAAGUGCAUUAAAAACACCGUGAAAGAAAUGCAACAACCAAUGAAAAGAUGUUUAAUUUUCCCUUAGUAUCAGGGAAAAUAAUUGAUCACACUAUAUAGUAAAUGAAGAUAUGUGUAUCAAGUGCUGCUAUUCUCAAUUACCCUUAAAACUUAGAUGGGCUUGCAGGGAGUCUCAAGUGCAUGUUUUGCUGUUUAUAGCACCAGUGUAGAGAUAUUUCCACCAAUGACAAAUAGGCUGUAAAACAUAAAAUCCUUUAGAAAAGUGAUAAAAAUACAAUCAGUAUGAGGACUUUGCUUCCUCUUCCCCUCCCCACCCCUACCCCCCUACUAUCCCUCACACCUAACACCUCUCACAAGUUGCUAUUGUAUAGCUGGCAUAGCUGGAGGAGUAGAAAGAGUGAGCUCACAGUCAGCAAAGCUGUGUGGUGCCUUUGUUCCACACACUUCUGGCUGUUUGAGCCUAGGUUAGUCACUUAACCUUUCUAAGACUCACUUUCUAAAAAUACGCAAAUAUGUAAAUUGUUGCUCUUCCAGUCUCCCUGGGUUUAGGGGAAAAUAGAAUGUGUACAAAAAUGCAUUGUAAAUGCAAAUGUGCCAUACAAAAUUGCUAUUAGUUUUAAAAUCUCUAAGUGAGGAUGAUGAGGAUGUGAAUCUGAUAUUUGAAGGUGCUAAACAUUUUUUUAAUUUUUUUUCAAAAAGCCAUUUUUCUUAAUAUUGUUGAUUUCCUGAGACAAAUAUCUUUGAUCUGGGUUGAAUAAUUGUGGGAAUUCUCAAGUUUAUCCUGCCCCUAUACACGCAGCAAAAGAAAGCUAAUUAACUUGUCCAAAUUUUUACAUUGAAUCAAAGACGAGACUGAGAACAACUGUCAUAGCUUGAGUGUUGAAGUUUAUCAAUCUAGGAAUCCUAUUGUGUUGUUAAUGUUUCCCCAGUAGUUUCAGUAAGUAAUGUAAACCCAUGAAUCUAAAUUAUAAAAUGGCUACAGGUAAACCAUGACACCAAAUUUCACUUCAUAUUUCAUUAUUCUAAGAUACAAGGGCAGAACCUAAAGAAAGGGUAAAAUAAAAUGGACUUACAUUAGACUUACUGACACCAUCAUUAUUUGAGAAAGAGCUAUUUCCUAGGUAUAUUUUAGGAACUUAUCUGGUGAUAUCUAUCUAUCUACUAACUUUAGGAGUGGGGUGGAAUUAAUUCUUUUUACAAGAUUAGUGAAGUUAGAAACAACUAGUUUCUAAUUGAUUAAAUGUAACCUAUUUUCAAGUAUCUUCAUAUGACUGAAAUCAAUCUGUUUUAUUUUCCAAACCAGUGGAAUAGACACAGAGUCAUUACAACCAGAAUGACAUGGCAUUGUUACAAAUCUUAGUAUUAAAGCAAUACUUCUGUUUUUAUGUAUAAUUAUUUUAUAAUGGAAAAUGUCCCUCAAAAUCAGACGAUUUGUUCCACAAUGAAUCAUCUACUCCAAACAACUCUGUUCCAAUAAUUAAUGACAAGAACAACAAACACUUACCCACCAGAUCCUUAUGGUAAAGCUAACUUCAGACAGGAAAUGCAGAACUCAGCAGAGUUCAUUAUUUUUCAUUUCUAGAUCAGAACAAGUUUAUCUAAGACUCCAAAUAAAGUUCAUGC